rnacentral:rRNA from 1 species
UACGAAGGGGGCGAGCGUUGUUCGGAUUUACUGGGCGUAAAGGGCGCGCAGGCGGCUAUUUUUGUCAGGCGUGAAAGGCCCGGGCUCAACCUGGGAACUGCGCAUGAUACUGCGGCGCUUGAAGACGGGAGAGGAUGGCGGAAUUCCCAGUGUAGAGGUGAAAUUCGUAGAUAUUGGGAAGAACACCGGUGGCGAAGGCGGCCAUCUGGCCCGUGAUUGACGCUGAGGCGCGAAAGCGUGGGGAGCAAACAGG